AGUAACACGUGGAUAACCUACCUAUAAGACUGGGAUAACUUCGGGAAACCGGAGCUAAUACCGGAUAAUAUAUUGAACCGCAUGGUUCAAUAGUGAAAGACGGUUUUGCUGUCACUUAUAGAUGGAUCCGCGCCGCAUUAGCUAGUUGGUAAGGUAACGGCUUACCAAGGCAACGAUGCGUAGCCGACCUGAGAGGGUGAUCGGCCACACUGGAACUGAGACACGGUCCAGACUCCUACGGGAGGCAGCAGUAGGGAAUCUUCCGCAAUGGGCGAAAGCCUGACGGAGCAACGCCGCGUGAGUGAUGAAGGUCUUCGGAUCGUAAAACUCUGUUAUUAGGGAAGAACAAAUGUGUAAGUAACUAUGCACGUCUUGACGGUACCUAAUCAGAAAGCCACGGCUAACUACGUGCCAGCAGCCGCGGUAAUACGUAGGUGGCAAGCGUUAUCCGGAAUUAUUGGGCGUAAAGCGCGCGUAGGCGGUUUUUUAAGUCUGAUGUGAAAGCCCACGGCUCAACCGUGGAGGGUCAUUGGAAACUGGAAAACUUGAGUGCAGAAGAGGAAAGUGGAAUUCCAUGUGUAGCGGUGAAAUGCGCAGAGAUAUGGAGGAACACCAGUGGCGAAGGCGACUUUCUGGUCUGUAACUGACGCUGAUGUGCGAAAGCGUGGGGAUCAAACAGGAUUAGAUACCCUGGUAGUCCACGCCGUAAACGAUGAGUGCUAAGUGUUAGGGGGUUUCCGCCCCUUAGUGCUGCAGCUAACGC
rnacentral:rRNA from 1 species